rfam:Ictidomys tridecemlineatus contig058452, whole genome shotgun sequence.
UGGGUUGUGGCUCAGUGGUAGAGCACUUGCCUAGCAUGUAUAAGGCCCUGAGUUCUAUCCUCAGCACCGCAU